AUCAGGACUGGUGAAGAAUUUGAUAUUUUAUGGGAGUUGCGCAUGUGUGUGGCAAAAUGGCUCUAUAGCGCCACCUGCAAAAUUGAAAAGUGGUCAUUAGGCCAACUUCCACAAUGUUUCAUUUACAGCUACAAUAUUUGGUGGGCAUAUGCAGAACAUCAGGACACACCAAAAAGUCAAUCACAUCCACGCCCUAAACCCAACAGGAAGUCGGCCAUCUUGAAUUUGCUGUAAUUUGUCAAAAUUAAUUUCUCCCGGCAAAUGAAUUGCCUUUUUGGGGGCCUUAUCAUAUCCCAAAAUGCAUGAAAUUUGGCGUGCACAUCAGGACUGGAGAAGAAUCUGAUAUUUUACAGGAGUUGCGCAUGUGUGUGGCAAAAUGGCUCUAUAGCGCCACCUGCAAAAUUGAAAGUGGUCAUUAGGCCAACUUCCACAAUGUUUCAUUUACAGCUACAAUAUUUGGUGGCCAUAUGCACCACAUCAGGACACACCAAAAAGUCAAUCACAGCCACGCCCUAAACCCAACAGGAAGUCGGCCAUCUUGAAUUUGCUGUAAUUUGUCAAAAUUAAUUUCUCCUGGCAAAUGAAUUGCCUUUUUGGGGGCCUUAUCAUAUCCCAAAACGCGUGAAAUUUGGCGUGCACAUCAGGACUGGCGAAAAAUUUGAUAUUUUAUGGGAGUUGCUCAUGCGCGUGGCAAAAUGUCUCUAUAGUGCCACCUGCAAACUUGAAAAAGUGGUCAUUAGGCCAACUGCCACAAUGUUUCAUUUACAGCUACAAUAUUUGGUGGGCAUAUGCACCACAUCAGGACACACCAAAAGUCAAUCACAGCCACGCCCUAAACCCAACAGGAAGUCAGUCAUCUUGAAUUUGCUGUACAUUUGUCAAAAUUAAUAGCUCCUACGGGGUAAGUCUGAGAGAACUGAAAUUUGGCCAGUACAUGCAUCAGACCUUUCUGAUGAAAAGUUAUCAAAAACUCAACCAGAAGCCAAAAGGUGUGGCCAUGGCGGAGCCUCAAAAAACUGAUCCGUCGCCAUGAAACAGGAAGUGGUGUCUAAUUCUUCUCAACAUGCUCCAAUCUGCCUGAAACUUUACAUGUAUGAUGACAGUCCUGUCCUGAUGUCAUCCACAUAGGGAUAUUCAUUGACAGUCAUAGCGCCACCUUGUGGUUUCAGGAAAUAGACAUCUUUUACACUUUCAUGCCCUAUUGUUACCCGGUUGAUCAUAUUCACUUCAAAUGCGGUGACAACAGGCUGAACACAUUGAUGAUGCAUCCCAGUGAAAAUGGUGACUUGUCAUCAAAGGGCGUGUCUGUGGCGGCCAAAGGAAUUUCGAUGUUUCGCCAUGAAAAUGUAACGAUUCAUAUCUCAGCUGAACAAGAUCCUAUCUGCCCCGAACUUCACAUGAUGGACACCAGGUCCAGUCUGAACACAUCCACACUCAUAAAUUCCACAAAGGUCAUAGCGCCACCUGUUGGUAAUAGUAAGUUUAAGGCUUUAUAUUUUCAGGUACAAUGGCCCCAAACUUGGUGAUAUCAAGCUGGAAAUUGGUCAGUCGAGUCUUCACCUCUUGACAAUCACACACUGUGAAGGGUGUGACAUUUCAUGCAACGCUGUUGCCGUAGCAACCAAAUAUCGCCAUGAAAAACAAAGCCCUUUCUGACAGGUUAGGAAUACUCCAAUGCUCACAAAAAUUACCACACACAUCACCAUUCACCCAAGGAACAACACUGUAUGCAUCUCGGCACUGCACAUGCUAUAGCGCCCCCUACAGUAUUUUUAACAAACAGCCCCCCCAGCACGUUUCACCUACAUCCAUGAAAUUUGGGAGGCUUAUAGAGCACAUCAGGACGCACAAAAAAGCCUCUUGGAGCCAUGUCCUAAACCCAACAGGAAGUCAGCCAUCUUGGAUUAAUUGUGAGAUUUUUGAUGAUUUUUCUCAUUUUUGAGAAUUAAUACCUCCUCGGGGAUAAUUCCAGGAGACCUGAAAUUUUGUCAGUCCACACAGCAGGACUUGGUUUGGAAAAAUUAUCAAAAGUUUAACCAGAAGCCAAAUGGCGUGGCCAUGGCGACCAUUAGUUUUGAUGCUUCGCCAUGAAACAACAACUGCUGUAUAACUCUCCUCUGCAUGCUCCAAUCUGCCUCAAACUUUCCAUGUGUGAUCACAAUCCAAUCCUGAUCACAUCUACAGGCCAACAGACACUCUCAGUUGCAGCGCCACCUGUUGGAGGGACAAUAAAUGCUGUAUAACUGGCCUCUACAUGAUCAAAUCAGCCUGAAACUUUUCAUGAGUGAUCAGAGUCCAGCCCUCAUCACAUCCACUGUUUGAAAUACACUCUGAGUUACAGCGCCACCUGGUGGUGGAUGGGCAGGAAAUGCUGUAUAACUAGUCUGAACAUGCUCCAAUCUGGCUGAAAUUUUACGUGUGAUUAAACUCUGGUCCAGAUGUGAUUCAGAGGCCAGCACACACUCUCAGUCACAGCGCCACCUGGUGGACGUGCAUGGAUUCGCCGACCAGCGUGGAUGCGAGGACCCGUCCAUCGCUGCUUGCAGCUUUAAUUAGGGUCCGAGCACCGAGGGUGCGAAGGACAGGCGGUGCCAGGGCACCGACUGUCCAAGGCACCAGCGGUGCCAAGGACCCUAUUGAAACCCUAGGGUUUAUUAUUAUUAUUAUUAUUAUUAUUAUUAGGGUCCGAGCACCGAGGGUGCGAAGGACAGGCGGUGCCAGGGCACCGACUGUCCAAGGCACCAGCGGUGCCAAGGACCCUAUUGAAACCCUAGGGUUUAUUAUUAUUAUUUUUUUUUUUUCUCCCGUAAAGUAAAUUGGCUUUUUGGCGGCCUUAUCAUACUCCAAAACGCGUGAAAUUUGGCAUGCACAUCAGGACUGGCGAAAAAUUUGAUAUUUUAUGGGAGUUGCGCAUGUGCGUGGCAAAAUGGCUCUAUAGCGCCACCUGCAAAGUUGAAAAAGUAGUCAUUAGGCCAACUGCCACAAUGUUUCAUGUACAGCUACAAUAUUUGGUGGGCAUAUGCAGAACAUCUGGACACACCAAAAAGUCAAUUACAGCCACGCCCUAAACCCAACAGGAAGUCGGCCACCUUCAAUUUGCUGUAAAUUUUUCAAACUUAAUCGCUCCUCGGGAAAUGACUUGCCUUUUUGGCGGCCUUAUCAUGAACCAAAACGCGUGAAAUUUGGCGUGCACAUCAGGACUGGCGAAAAAUUUGAUAUUUUAUGGGAGUUGCGCAUAUGUGUGAAAAAAUGGCUCUAUAGCGCCACCUGCAAAAUUGAAACAGUGGUCAUUAGGCCAACUUCCACAAUGUUUUAUUUACAGCUACAAUAUUUGGUGGGCAUAUGCACCACAUCAGGACACACCAAAAAGUCAAUCACAGCCACACCCUAAACCCAACAGGAAGUCGGCCAUCUUGAAUUUGCUGUACAUUUGUCAAAAUUUAUAGCUCCUAGUGGAUAAGUCUGAGAGAACUGAAAUUUGGCCAGUACAUGCACCAGACCUUUCUGAUGAAAAGUUAUCAAAAACUCAACCAGAAGCCAAAAGGUGUGGCCAUGGCGGAGCCUCAAACAACUGAUCCUUCGCCAUGAAACAGGAAGUGGUGUCUAAUUCUUCUCAACAUGCUCCAAUCUGCCUGAAACUUUACAUGUAUGAUGACAGUCCUGUCCUGAUGUCAUCCACAUAGGGAUAUUCAUUGACAGUCAUAGCGCCACCUUGUGGUUUCAGGAAAUAGACAUCUUUUACACUUUCAUGCCCUAUUGUUACCCGGUUGAUCAUAUUCACUUCAAAUGCAGUGACAACAGCCUAAACACAUUGAUGAUGCAUCCCAGUGAAAAUGGUGACUUGUCAUCAAAGGGCGUGUCUGUGGCGGCCAAACCAAUUUCGAUGUUUCGCCAUGAAAAUUUAACGAUUCAUAUCUCAGCUGAACAACAUCCUAUCUGCCUCAGACUUCACAUGCUGGAUACCAGGUCCAGUCUGAACACAUCCACACUCAUAAAUUCUGAAAAAGUCAUAGCGCCACCUGUUGGUAAUAGUAAGUUUAAGGCCUUAUAUUUUCAGGUACAAUGGCCCCAAACUUGGUGAUAUCAUGCUGGAAAUUGGUCAGUCGAGUCUUCACCUCUUGACAAUCACACACUGUGAAGGGUGUGACAUUUCAUGCAACGCUGUUGCCGUAGCAACCAAAUAUCGCCAUGAAAAACAAAGCCCUUUCUGACAGGUUAGGAAUACUCCAAUGCUCACAAAAAUUACCACACACAUCACCAUUGACCCAAGGAACAACACUGUAUGCAUCUCGGCACUGCACAUGCUAUAGCGCCCCCUACAGUAUUUUUAACAAACAGCCCCCCCAGCACGUUUCACCUACAUCCAUGAAAUUUGGGAGGCUUAUAGAGCACAUCAGGACGCACAAAAAAGCCUCUUGGAGCCAUGUCCUAAACCCAACAGGAAGUCGGCCAUCUUGGAUUAAUUGUGAGAUUUUUGAUGAUUUUUCUCAUUUUUGAGAGUUAAUACCUCCUAGGGGAUAAUUCCAGGAGACCUGAAAUUUUGUCAGUCCACACAGCAGGACUUGGUGAUGAAAAGUUAUCAAAAGUUUAACCAGAAGCCAAAUGGCGUGGCCAUGGCGACCAUUAGAGUUUUGAUGCUUCGCCAUGAAACAACAACUGCUGUAUAACUCUCCUCUGCAUGCUCCAAUCUGCCUCAAACUUUCCAUGUGUGAUCACAAU